GACGAACGAUGGCGGCGUGCCUAAUACAUGCAAGUAGAACGCAGUUGCGAACGGGUGAGUAACGCGUAUGUAACUGCCUGGUAGCGGGGGAUAACUAUUUGAAACGAUAGCUAAUACCGCCUCCUACAAGAUGGACCUGCGUUGUAUUAGCUGGUUGGUGGGGUAACGGCUCACCAAGGCAACGAUACAUAGCCGACCUGUGAGGGUGAGCGGCCACAAUGGGAACUGGACACGGCCCAAAGUUCUACGGGAGGGAGCAGUAGGGGAUUGUCGGCAAUGGACGGAAGUCUGACCGAGCAACGCCGCGUGAGUGAAGAAGGUUUUCGGAUCGUAAAGCUCUGUUGUAAGAGAAGCGGUAUCUUACCAGAAAGGGACGGCUAACUACGUGCCAGCAGCCGCGGUAAUAC
rnacentral:rRNA from 1 species